UUGUGUGUAGGAGGAAUUGAUUUAUUUUAGUGGAAACAAGGAAACACUAAAAUUAAAUCAGUUUUUAA
rnacentral:ncRNA from 2 species